GUUCGCUUUCAAAGCCUAUCGCAAUCAGAGAAACUGUUAGCGAACAGCAUGGACCCUGACCAGACUGCGCGGAUGCGCAGGCUGGUCUGGAUCCAUGCUGCUCGCAAAGCCACUAUGUUGGUUUUCUCAUGGCGCGGCUCAUAUAUAUUUUCAGAAUGAAACAUGAUAAAUACGCUAAUAAAAUAAGUAAAAAGCAUGGUCAUGCAAAUCAUCUCCUAAACAUAGCACUAACAAUAUAUCAAAAAAAAAGGUGAAAACAAUUUGCUUUUUAUUCCUGGUCCUUGCUUUGCGCAUAACGUAAUGGUGGUCAAGUGUUAUAGCUUCUACACAUAGUAUUACAUAGUUGAGAUUUGAUAGAUAUAUAUUAUUAAUCCCUGCAAUGUUUAUAUGUUUUAUUUCAAUUUUUACUAAAAUCAGUGAGGCCUGUAUUAGAUAAAAUCUUUAAGAGGAUUCUCUUGAAGCAUGGGACACAAUCAUGCAAAAUACUAGCAGACUUUGUUUUAGUAUUUCCAAUCAUUUACAACAUUGUUAAUUUCGUGUGCCUAUAAUCUUAAACUGAGGCACAACCUGAUAUUUCAUUUUUGGGGUCAAAUUGUUUAGAAUAUUUAGUUUUGUUGUAAUUAUGUGUAUGAUUUAAGCUUUAACAAUCUAGUGAUUUAUUUUACUUAUAAGAGCGUAUUUACAUGCUUAUUUUUUUCUUCAAAAAUCAGGGAUAUAUCACACCUCACAGAGGAAUUUGCAAUGUCGAAGUGACCUUACAAUCCUUUACUUUUAAUUAUAUUUGAGUAUUGGUUCAACACUGCUUCAAACCCCGCUUAUUAUUGCCUGACAUAAUACUGAACUGCAUGACCCGUACGAAGUUCUCGCCAAAUUUGAUCUGAAGUUUAAACUGAAUACAUCACAGGUACAUUUGUAUAAGACACAAAAAAUCAUUUUUGUUUUUUCUUUAUAUUCUAUUUAUGUUUUAGCUAACUGUACAUGUACAGAAACGAAUGAAAAGUUGACUAUAGUUUCACCAAAAGCAGUUGAGCCAGUAGUAAAAUGUGUUCUUUUAUUCCAAACAUGUUAAUAGAAUAUACAAUGUAUGAAAUGGGCAUUUUGUGAAUCUAAGUCAAUAGCAAACUACCUGUUGUGUCAAUAUCAGAACAUUCUAACUGUCUAACUGCGUUGCGUUGUGAUUUGCCAGGAGAGAGAGAGAGAGAGAGAGAGAGAGAGUUUAUUUUGUAAAUUGAUGACUGGAUUGAUUGGAACAAUCUAAUCUUUGCAUUAGAUUACGGUAUAAUUAUUUGAUAUUUUCAUUUUUGUUUCAGUCUUCAAUAACUAUUUUGUGAAGCGAAGUUAAAGGAUAUUUUAUAUCGAGAACUUUAAUAGCUAUCUUAUUGAGUGAACUUUAAGAACUAUUUUAUCACGGGAACUUCAAGAAUAUUUUAUAAAGCGAACUUUAAUAUUUUUUUAUCAAGCGAACUUUAAUUACUAUUUUACCAAGCGAAUUUUGGUUACUAGAUUUAUUUUAAUAACUAUUUUGUCAAGUGAACGUUAAUUACUAUUUUAUCAAGUGAACUUUAAUUACUAUUUUAUCAAGUGAACUUUAAUAUUUUUUGUUGAGCGAAAGUUAAUGACUGUUUUAUCAAGCGAACGUUAAUAACUAUUUUAUCAAGGGAACUUUAAUAACUAUUUCAUCAAGUGAACUAUAAUAACUAUUUUAUCAAGCGACAAUACCAAGAUUAAUUUCCGGUAAACGAUGAACGUGAACAGAAUUUCGUUAUCUUUAGGAAAUUCACCUCAAAUAGUGAUGCGUUCUUAUUUUGUGCUUGAAAUAGUAAGUUAGGGUCAACCAUUAAUGACAAUGUUAAAGAGUGAGGUGGUUAUAUUGAAUUAUCGUGUUCGUACUGCUUGAAUUAUUAGGGAUUUGUAAGCUCAUGUAUAGGUAAUGUUGUUUACAUUUAAAAUGUAUUGUUUUCCACACAAUAUGUUCAUCAAUGAAAUAAAACCUAGACUUUGAUAACA